CCACAUUGGUUAAGUUUGGGUGAGGAGAAGACUUUAUAAGAGAUGUGACUCAUAAACCUAAUGCCUUAAGGUUUUGGGUUAGGAUGUGGCGUCGAGAUCUCUUGGUGUCUUGCUCCUCGGCCCAUGGGUUCCCCUGUCUCCCCCAAAAAGUGGUAUCAGAGCCGAUGGUUGGUGUAGCCAUGGUUACGGCUCCAUCUGUCGAAAGUCUUCCUAGCAGUGUAGCUAAGCGGCGGGUUCCGUUGACGCGGUAAAGCGAACGGCGGUGCAAGAGUGGAUAAGCUUCCGCGGAGGAGGGCCAUGAUAAUGUGGAGGUGACUUGCACUUGAGGGGGAGAUUGUUAAUAAUUCAAGUGCGGAGUUGGAGUCCCACAUUGGUUAAGUUUGGGUGAGGAGAAGACUUUAUAAGAGAUGUGACUCAUAAACCUAAUGCCUUAAGGUUUUGGGUUAAGAUGUGGCGUCGAGAUCUCUUGGUGUCUUGCUCCUCAGCCCAUAGGCUCCCCUGUCUCUCCCAACAAGUGGUAUCAAAGCUGAUGGUUGGUGUAGCCAUGGUUACGGCUCCUUGUGUCGAAAGUCUUUCUAGCAGUGUAGCUAGGCGGCGGGUUCCGUUGACGCGGUGAAGCGAACGGUGGUGCAAGAGUGGAUAAGCUUCCGCGGAGGAGGGCCAUGAUAAUGUGGAGGUGACUCGCACUUGAGGGGGAGAUUGUUGAUAAUUCAAGUGCGGAGUUGGAGUCCCACAUUGGUUAAGUUUGGGUGAGGAGAAGACUUUAUAAGAGAUGUGACUCAUAAACCUAAUGCCUUAAGGUUUUGGGUUAAGAUGUGGCGUCGAGAUCUCUUGGUGUCUUGCUCCUCAGCCCAUGGGCUCCCUUGUCUCUCCCAACAAGUGGUAUCAAACUGAUGGUUGGUGUAGCCAUGGUUACGGCUCCUUGUGUCGAAAGUCUUCCUAGCAGUGUAGCUAGGCGGCGGGUUCCGUUGACGCGGUGAAGCGAACGGCGGUGUAAGAGUGGAUAAGCUUCCGCGGAGGAGGGCCAUGAUAAUGUGGAGGUGACUCGCACUUGAGGGGGAGAUUGUUGAUAAUUCAAGUGCGGAGUUGGAGUCCCACAUUGGUUAAGUUUGGGUGUGGAGAAGACUUUAUAAGAGAUGUGACCCAUAAACCUAAUGCCUUAAGGUUUUGGGUUAAGAUGUGGCGUCGAGAUCUCUUGGUGUCUUGCUCCUCGGCCUUGUCUCAUGGGUCCUCGUCGUGACUCUCCCCAACAAGUGGUAUCAGAGCCAAUGGUUUGUGGGACCAUGACGGCUCCUUGUGCCGAAAGUCUUGCUAGCAAUAGUGGCUAGGCGGCGUGUCCCGUUGAUGGAGAUCCAACGACGGUGCAAGUAAUUGGAGGUUUGCGCUUGAGAUGGACUCACACUUGAGGGGAGAUUGUUGGGAUGUCAAGUGUGAAUAAAGAAGUCCAACAUUGGAUGGUUAGAGGAGAGAUGAGCACUUUAUAAGUGAGAGGACCCAUACACCCAUUGCCUUAAGGUUUUGGGUUAAGAUGUGGUGUCCAAGAUCUCCUUGGUGUUUCCCCUCGACCUUGCCCCAUGGGUCCUUGCCGUGACUCUCCCCAACAAGUGGUAUCAGAGCCGAUGGUUCAUGAGACCAUGACGGCUCCUUGUGUCGAAAGUCUUCCUGGCAGUGUGGCUAGGCGGCGGGUUCCGUUGACGCAGUGAAGCGAACGGCGGUGUAAGAGUGGAUAAGCUUCCGCGGAGGAGGCCAUGACAAUGUGGUGGUUACUCGCACUUGAGGGGGAGAUUGUUGAGAAUUCAAGUGCGGAGUUAGAGUCCCACAUUGGUUAAGUUUGGGUGAGGAGAAGAGUUUAUAAGAGAUGUGACUCAUAAACCUAAUGCCUUAAGGCUUUGGGUUAAGAUGUGGCGUCGUGAUCUCUUGGUGUCUUGCUCCUCGGCCCAUGGGCUCUCCUGUCUCCCCCAACAUAAAUCGUGCUUCAAAUAGUGACUUUGAAUAAGAAAAUUUUGACACAACCUGAAAGUGGUAUUGCUAAGGGUCAAGAAAACUAAAUUUGCAACUUAUGUAUGACAGGCCAUCGAGAUGAAGUCUGGAUUGGUGCAACUUAUGUAUGACAAUCCAUUUUCCGGUUUGGACCAUGAGAAUCCGUACACGCAUUUGACAAAGUUCUAUGAUCUUUGUGGCACUGCUGGCCUUACACAAGCCGAGGAAGAAGCUGUGUUCUUGAGGCUCUUUCCUUUGACUCUGAAUGGGCAGGCCAAAGACUGGUACUUGGAUCAGUCGCAGACUAUCUAAUCUGAUUGGAAUGAACUUGAAAGGAAAUUCAUGGCAAGGUACUUCUCGGAAUUAAAAUUUAGGGAUUGUAAAACUGAUAUUUCUACUGUUUCCUAGUUUGAAGGUGAGAGCCUAUGUGAAGCUUGGGAGAGAUUUAAGUCUAUGUUGAGAAAGUGCCCGAAUCAUGGGUUUGAAGCGUCUCUUAUGGCUAAAACACCUACUGAAGCCAUUUAGAUUAUUGAGGCUGUGGCUCUAAACGACCAACAAGAUCAACACCACCGUGGUCCACCAAGGAGAGGUGGAAUGAUUGAGUUGGGGACAAAUGAUGCUAUCUUAGCUUAAAACAAGCAACUACAACAACAACUUGAUGAGGUGAAUAAAAAACUUGCUGAGCUUCCUAAGCAGAUCAAGGAAAUAAAAGAACCAUCAUCAAGGCAAAAGGUGAACAAGUGUGAUGUGUAUACGAAUGAUCAUUCAAUAGAGCAUUGUCAGCCACAAGAAGAGGAGGUCCACUAUGUAGGAAACCAGCCAAGGCAAGGGUUCCAGAACAACUACCCCAAGUGAGGUAACCGGUACAAUAACCAACCUUGGAGGCAAGACACAAGACCAUCUUCCAGCAGGGUACCACCAGCACCGUACCAAAAUAACAAUACAAGCAGAAUCAACAAUUUCAAAAACCAUCACAAGAUAGGACUUCCAAACGGGAGGAUACACUAACUCAAUUUAUGCAGGUUUCGAAAUCCAACCAGAAAAAUACUAAUACAUCCAUUAAAAACUUGGAAGUACAAGUUGGACAAAUGGCUAAACAGCUGAGUCAGCUGACUACUGAGCAGAAAGGUAAGUUCUAUGCCAAUACAGAAGACAAUCCUAGGGUGCAUUGCAAUGCAAUAUUCACAAGAAGUGGGAGAGUAGUUGGUGGAAAGGUUGGUGAUGCGGUUGAUGUGGAUGAAGAGAAAAAUGAGAGCCAUGAUCCAAAAGAGAGUGAAAAAGAGGAAGAAGUUGAAAAAGAAGAAGAAACUAAUAAAAGAGAGGAUGUAGAUAGAGAGGAAAAGAAAAAGAGUGAAAAAAAAGAGAGAAAAAAAAGAGAAUGAGGAAAUCAGAUGGAGUCCUCCUAUCCAACGCUUGCCAUAUCCUCCUAAUUCUAAGAAGAUUGAUCAUGAGAGGCAAAUGAGGAGGUUUAUUGACAUUUUCAGGCAUUUCAACAUCUCCAUGCCAUUUUCUGAAGCAUUGGAGCAAAUUCCCUCAUAUGGAAAGUACAUGAAAGAGCUUCUAUAGAAAAAGGACAGGUUGAAGGCACUGCAUGAAGAUGAGGUGAUCCAGCUCAAUGGACAUUGUAGUGCAAUUCUGCAACGCUUACCACCUCCAAAGCAUAGAAGUUCCAGGAGUCUUGUCUUGCCGGUUAAACUUGACAACAAUCAAUUAUGUAAUGCACUGAUAGACUCUGGGCUACAUUAAUUUAAUGUCUCUUUCCUUGUUGAAAAGGUUGGGAGAUGUGGAAGUAGAGCCUACAGGGAUGACGCUGCAACUAGCUGAUAAAUCAGUAAAAUUACCUCAAGGAGUUGCAGAGAAUGUGAGUGUGAUGGUGGAGCAGCUGAAUUUCCCAAUAGACUUUGUGGUUGUAGAUGUUCCUGAAGACAAAGAGGUCCCAAUAAUUUUAGGGAUGCCAUUCAUUAUCACUGCUAGGAUAGCAUUUGAUGUAGAUAUUGGGAUCCUGAAGGUGAGACAAGGUGAAGAUGAGGUACAUCUUACUGUUUUUAGUGAUAAUCAUCACUGACAAAGCAAAGGUAUGGUUUAUUUAAUUCAAAAUGUUGGUUUUGAUUUGGAAAAAUUAUUUGAUGAGCAUGAUCCAUCAUCAUCUUCAAUUGAUACAUCAAAUCACUUGUCUGAGCUUGAAAAUGCAAAAACUAAACAUUCUAAAAAUAAAAACUGUGAUUAGGGAAGAAAGGAAGGAUAAGAAAGAAGAAAAAGUUUUCUAAGAUGUGGAAGGUUGUGACUACGUGUCAAAAGUGCUUCAAAGAACUUCUGAAAAAGGAGAAGGAACCAAAGAGGAAGAAGGGAACCAUUCUCUCCUCUUGUCUUUGGUCUCCUUGAUAAAUUGAAUUUCAAAGUGUCAAGCAAUUGACGUUAAAAAAGCGCUUCCUGGGAGGCAACCCAGUGUUUUAAUGUGAUUUUCUUGUUCUUAUGUGUUUUAGACUUUUAGUAAGUUUUAGUGCGAAUUUGUGAAGUUGUGCUUAAAUUUGUAUACUUAUGUGCUUCACAAGUUUAAUUUAGUGUUUUGAGUGUGUUCAAAGGCUUGGAAAUCAAUGCUUUGUUGGAUUUGUAAAAGAUAGGGUUGUGAUUUUUUUUUUCAUGUGAACUUGAGUAAAUUGUGCAUCCUGUGAUUUUAUGUGUAAAACCUGAGUUUCAAAGUUGUAACAGGCCUAAUUUGAUACAUACCAUGCAUAGGAAUGGAUGGUUUUUUAGGUUUGUGUGUUUUGAGAAAAUGGAGGUAUGUAGUAGUGUGCUCAUGAUGAAAAACAAGUCCCCCUAGGUGAUUUCCUGCAUAAACUGUACAAAAUUGCUUUCCGUAGCUUUUAAGCAAACUCAUGUUUGAAUUUUAAUGUUAUUUUUCAAAUAUUAGAAUAAAUUCCAAUGUGAACUUUUUGGCUUUGAAGUGGAAAUGCAUUAAGACUGCUUAUUGUGUAGUUUUCUUGUGGGGAUGGGCUUCAACUGUGUAGUUUAAGGCCUCUCACAAGUUUAAAAUGAUAUGAAUGAUGAGUCUGAGGACUUAGAAAGCCUGAAAAAUGAGAAAAUAAGAAAUUGAGGUGUUGGGUUGUAAAAAUAACAAAACUGUGUAAGGGGGAUGAGUUAGAAUGUGAAAUAAGAAUCUUGUGUCUCUUUUCAUGAUUUUAGUCUUCAUACAAGUUUCUUAGAUGAUAAGUAAGUGGUUUACCUUCUUAGGAAGCUUUGAGAAUGAAUGAAUCAAAAUUUGAGGUAUCCACUUGUGCAAAUAGUCAAAAUGAAUGCUAAAUUGAAUUCAUGUUCUUUGAAGAUUAACAUGUGAAAUUUAAGUGAUUCACAGGUUUAAAUUGCAGAUAUAAAUGUCUCAUUAUGAUUGAAAAGAAAGGAAGAAGAGACAUACAAAUUUUGGAGGUUAGACUUGUGAAUUUUGGCAAGAUUUGACAGUAUUUUGCUGCAUAAUUACAGGUACUUUGCAGCAAGUCUUUGGCAAGACUUGUGAAUUUUUGGCAAGAUUUGACAGUAUUUGGCCAGCUCAAAGUCUUUUGCAGCAAUAAUUUCCUCCCUGGCCGCCACCUCUAGCAGAGUUUUCUGUUUUUGUGCCUCUAAAUCGUUUCUGGUCUGGGUGGUUUCUUGUCCCAACUUAGUCAGCUUCUCUUCAAAAGUGGCCUCUUGGGCUGACAGUUGGGUUUCCAGCGCCUUGCACCUUUCAUCCCGCUCGGAGUGGGCGGCGUGAAGCCGGAUAAUCUCUCGUUGCAGCUCUACAACAUCUUUGGUGGCAGAAUUGUAUGUUUUAAAUGCGUGACCACAGAUACUCCCCGCAUACAGGAGGCUCGCCAUGGCUUCAUCAGCCAUGUGGUCCAGAUCUUUGCUCAGCACCUCCUCUUCUAACUUCUCGUGGCGAACUUGUAAGAGGAUAAAGGCAAUAGGAUCUUCGAUAUCCUCAAAGGCAGGGGGCGAGAAGGACCAUCUUGCUCGCCCUCAGAGCGAGAGGUUUGCUGAGGGUCAUUGGCGUUCUGGGAGACAACGAGGGUCGUAGGAACUCCCGUGAUGAUGGAUCAGCUUAGCGGAGGGGAGAGACCGGCAGGACGUCAGCCUCGCCCUGGGAAAGGAUGGUUUUCCUUUCUGCGUCGGGCGUGAGGUCUGAGUAGGGACCUUGACUCAUUUUGGAGAAGGGACGGCGAUCCCAGACCUGGCGGAUUGGCCAAAAAUAAGGGGGGACUUCUUUUUCGGCGGUGGGCGAGGAAUCUCACUGUUAGGGUCCUGUGAAGGACGCUUCCUUGGGCUAGUUUUCUUCUUCCCGCCCGUGGCGUCAAACUAGGGUGGAAGGGAGUAGUUUUCUUACGUUAAAAGGCAUUGGAAAGCUCAGCGCUCGUGAACUUCAGGUCCUCUGAAAAGAGAUAUGCCAACAAGGUUAAAAUAGGUGGUGCGAAUGAAAAAUGACAAAAUUAAGGAGCAGAGAGCGAGAGAUUUAACAACCUGGAUACUUGGGAGUCAGCGAAUUUUUGGCGGCGUCAAUAACCUUACCACAAUCCAGAAUGGGGAUUCUAGCGAAGAAGCUGAUGAUAAUCUUGUCAGUGUCGGUGAGAGAGUCCUCUAGCGGGUUAGCGAUGUUGUUGGGAUCUUCCUUCUAGUAAAAAGGAAAGAGGGUGGUCCCGUCCCUCUGGGUGAAAACCGCGGGGUAGUCAUGGGUCACCCGAUCAUGAAAUACCUCCGGGCAAAGCUGGAUUUAGCAUUGCACAUGAACGGGUUGAGCCGUUUGCGGCUGGGCCUGGCCUUCAAGGAAAUCCAGCUGCGUGACUGCAAGGACUUGGCGUCCACGUCGUAGAAAUAGAAGAAGUGAGUAGGCAAAGGCUCGCACUAGAUGGCGUCCAUGCAUUGGGGUGCAACUGGCAGGGAGCGACAUUUAUGUCAUUCAGAAUGGAGCAAUAGAACGGGGAGAAAGGGAGUUUUAUUUCCAACUCGGUGAACAAGUAAUCACAGACGAAGAAGAAGUCGGAAUUGCAGGGCUCGCCCGUCGGCUGAUGUCGCUGGGGCGAUCGUUGUUUGAGCAGCCAAUGUAGACAAGGAUAUUAUCCGGGGAGACCUCACGACAAAAAGCCCCCGAUCUCCGAGGAGAGUUCCGAAACGGAAAGGAGGUCCACGUACUCAGAGGGUUGGUCGAUAGCUUCUUGAGGGGGGCGGGGGCGUUUUGGCGACAAGAGGAAGAGUAGCGGAGGUUCUAAGCCGAAACGCCGUUAUCUGGGAUGCCGCCAGAGGGACCCCGUCGGGAUGGGGAGGUCCAGUUGGCAUCUUAGGCGUUGGAACUCGUCCCGGAGGAGAAGUGGGGGGGUCUCGACGAGAAGAGUUCCUGGUUUGGCGUUUGGAGACCACCAUUGGAGAAAAUAAGGACGAAUGGGGACUAUCAAUAACGGGCACUAUGGACGAAGUAGGGAGUUCGCCAGGAAAGGAGGUAAACAGAGGGUAGCCAAAUGAGUGGUAAGUGACGGUGCGGGAGUGUUGGUAGGUCGGGGAUCCUUUGGAAGAGAUUGGGGAUGAGAAAAGUGGAGGUUUCGAAAGUUGCAAGUGAUGGAAAAUGAGGGUCUUUAUAGGCAAAGGGCUGGUGAUGGCAUAGGACGCGUGUAGAUUUUGAGCGGUGUUUCGAGCGGUCGUUUCACUGCGUAUAGGGGAUGGUGAGUUGCACCUCAUGAUGACAGGAGGGAAUGAUUCCCUUGGGAAAAGUAAACGACAUAACCUUGGGGGGCGUUGUAAGCGCGGGGUUGGUUCGAAUUCUGCCUUUAUGACGUGAGGUGACGCUUUGAAUAUAGCAGUUGAGAUUUCAAAGAUACGCUGACCUAUCCGCUUUCGCUGACGUGUCAACGCACUAGGCGACCAAAAUCACCACGAUCGCCUUUCAAGCGUGGCGACCAAACACUCCACAACCGCCGUCCGUGGACUCGUGGACUUGUGGACUUGUGAAAUUUUACUGCUCUUUACGCCAUGUUGGCGACUUAAAUAUUUUUGCACUAAGCGCUUCAGUUAGCCAUUUUGAUCCUUAAAGACACACUUAGCUCUCAUGCUUCGUGCUCAGUGUCUUGUGGACUGGUGGACUGAGCGAGCGCCUAGGGGACCUAUGCCCAGGGGUUACCCACCAAGCGGAGGUCGCCCAGCCUGGGAAUUGGGCCUCCUCACGCAAGGCCCAACUGGCCCAGCAGAUGCAGUUAUGAUGCGCUAGGCCCAACUCCCCUAUUAUAAACAAGGAGUGAUUAUCAUUUGUAAGGGCCUCUUAACUCAUUUGAUCAAUACACACUUGAAAUUCAGUUAUUUUCUCUCUCUUGAGAGGUUAUUCUCUCUCUUAGUGCAAUCUCUCUACUAUAGGUACUAUACCCUAUCUUAAUUUUCAAGGCAAGAACAGAAAACACAAUCAAACAGAUCCUUAGUUUACAAAAACUUUCCAUUUUCACAAGUGAUCGUUCAUCCGAGAAGUUUCCAGGAAAGUGAGGUGUUCUCCACAAAGAUGUGCUUAAAUACUAAAAUGUUCCUAGAUAGAACAACCUGUGAAUUCUCAUCACAAGAUCAAUAAAAAAAUCCGACCAUAUAUUUCUAAAUCUUUUUUUGUAUUUUUCUAUGUGUUGGUUAACUACGGUUUUAGUUCUGAGGCAGUUUGAGUUUAGAUUUUACUAUACCUGAACAUUUCCAAGACAAACCCGGAGGCUACAGAACUGCUGAGACAAACACAAGCCCUCCUGCUCUGCUAUAGAAAUCUACAGAGGAAUAGAGGAUGGAUCACGAAAUCGCUGAUGAUGAGCUGCUAGGUCCCUGUAGAAUAGGAUGAAUCCCUGUGAUUGUCUCUUGACUGGGUGAAGUUGGGGAGAGCGUUGUAUGUUCACUUUGGUCCAUCAAAAAUUCACAUGGUUUGAGGAGCUCCAAUUCAAAGCCAACUAUUCUUGUUCUUUUACCAGAUUUCUAAUUCUUUUCCACUUGUCAUUUUGAGGGUUAUUGUUUUUCCUCUGUAACCAAAAAAAACAUUGCAGGUAAUUGAAUAUUCCAUGAUGAGCUACACAUGAAAGCUUGUUUUUUUCAGGUUCUGGUUCAUAAAGGUGUAUUGUUCGUGUUCUUGCCGUUUUUGUUCCACCAAAGUUGCUACUUGGCUCGGUGCUCGCGUCGUUCAUCCCCAAUUUUCCAACAAUCUUGAGAGUUUUAUUCGAGAAUUAGUGGGUACAACGCCAACACUGAGAAAUCAAACACCAAUGAAAAUGGAGCACUGCAGCAUCAUGCUUUCCUUUUUUCACUAUCACACACAGAGAUGGUGAUCUGGCAAGAUAUGCAGCAAAUAAGGUUGGUACGUAAGAGAUUGUUUCUCCUUCAACACACUUCAUGAACCUAUCAUUGUCGAUAAUUAUUUCAAUUGGGCUCUUCUCUUACCAAUGCCAUCGCUCAUCAUUGGGUUGCACUCUUUCCUGUGCGGAAUCGUUUAUAUUCCUCACAGCGUUCAGACUGUUUAUUUCCCUUAUGUUCCACACUUCCACUAUCUUAGCAUACAAUUUUGAAGCAUCAGGUGUUCCCCCUUGCAAUUGCCGGAUUCUAGGCUUAUGGGAACCAGCCAUUAAAAAACCUCCAGCAAGCAACUGGUGCAAUACAUUGUGCAACUAUUGGCAAAAGAUUUAGGAAUGAUUUCAUGUUUUCAGUUGAGGUACUGAUUUGAGUUUAAAUAUUUUUUUGUAGUUUUUUAUAUGAAAAUGUUAGGGGUAUGUGGCUAAGUGAUUUUGAUGCACUGGAUUGUGCUUCGCAUUGCAUCUGAAUGUUCAUGUGAGAGAAUUGUUGAGGUGGGCUUAGUUGGAGUGGGAAGAUUGUUCUCUUAUAUGAAGAUGAGAUUUUGGGCUGUUUUGAGAAACACUGUUUGGGGAAUGGUAUAUCUAAGAGACACUUUUUUUGGAAUUUUAAAUGGCAACAUCUAAUCUGUAAUUAAAAAUUUUCAUUGCCUUCUUUGUGUAGCCCAUGCUAUCAUAUCAUAUAUAAGCUUGACUCACUGUGUAUGGAGUUGCAGCACCAAAAUAAAAUGUUUUUUUGGUAGGGGCUAAAAUAAAAUGAUGAUGGCAUAUUUCUUUUGCAGCACUCCAUCUGAAACUAAUUGUGUAAAGUGUAGUAUUUCCAAAUGUGAGAUGCCACAAAAUAUUUUGUCUUUGAUGCAUGCAGAAAAAAAUUACAUUUUAUGUACGAAAAGUGUUCUGUUAUUAACUAUGCAGCUGAAUCAAUGCAACCAAUCCCCCUCCCAUGAAGCUGAAAUUUAUUAGAUAGAAAAUAUGAUAGUUUGACAAGGUCCUAAACAAGAUCACACUUCUAUGAAAGCAAAUAUUGAACCCUACUGAAACUGCCGUAUUUGUUGUGCAAUGAUAAAGCUUUUCAUCUUUGGGCUAUGGUUUGUCUUUUAGGUGACUUUUUUGUACCCAACUUGGUGAAUCAGAACUAUAUCAUUAGAUGAACACGGUAUCAUUGGUACAGGGGAAAAGAUACAAUUUUGAAAGAGUUAUUACAAACACUUUGUUUUUUAAUAGUCUUGGUCCUUGAAUUUUCAUAAACAUGCAUCUUGAAUUUCUAUUGUAGUUGAAGAAGACUCAUUGAGGAAAGGGUUGAAUGAGUGGCUCCUGAAGUUUGCUGAAUUUUCUAUAUGCUUAGCAAAGUUUCUUUAUGGGUAGUUGGAGUAACUCAUGCUCACCUUUAAUCAACUUAUCUUUCGGCCUACAUGCAUUAGCUUUAGGAUUUGGACUAUAUAAAUUUGGAUUCGUUUGCAUGUUGAUAUAAUAUAACUUACCAUAUGCUUCUCAGCUCUCUGGAAAGACAGGGGGCAUAUCACUUAUAUAUGAUAUCCAUAGGUUUUAUAAGAAACCAAGAGGGCUAUGCUAUGCAUAGAUUUUCUACACAAGCUUUUGCAAAAUUCCCACUCUAUUUUUAUCUUUAAAAUUGAUUAUGAACUAUAAUUUU